rnacentral:rRNA from 1 species
UGGGGAAUUUCGCGCAAUGGGGGAAACCCUGACGCAGCAACGCCGCGUGAGUGAUGAAGGCCUUCGGGUCGUAAAGCUCUGUCAGAGGGGAAGAAAUGCAGGGGUGCUAAUAUCAUCUUUGCUUGACGGUACCCUCAAAGGAAGCACCGGCUAACUCCGUGCCAGCAGCCGCGGUAAUACGGAGGGUGCGAGCGUUGUUCGGAAUUAUUGGGCGUAAAGCGCGUGUAGGCGGUUUGGUAAGUCUGAUGUGAAAGCCCCGGGCUCAACCUGGGAAGUGCAUUGGAAACUGUCAGACUUGAAUACGGGAGAGAGUAGUGGAAUUCCUAGUGUAGGAGUGAAAUCCGUAGAUAUUAGGAGGAACACUGGUGGCGAAGGCGGCUACCUGGAUCGAUAUUGACGCUGAGACGCGAAAGCGUGGGGAGCAAACAG